UUCCUGGUGGUCUAGUGGUUAGGACUCUGUGCUUUUACCACUGUGGCCUGGGUUCAAUCCCUGGUCUGGGAA
rfam:Sus scrofa chromosome 7.